rnacentral:rRNA from 1 species
AGUGAACGCUGGCGGUAGGCCUAACACAUGCAAGUCGAACGGCAGCACAGUAAGAGCUUGCUCUUACGGGUGGCGAGUGGCGGACGGGUGAGGAAUACAUCGGAAUCUACUUUUUCGUGGGGGAUAACGUAGGGAAACUUACGCUAAUACCGCAUACGACCUACGGGUGAAAGCAGGGGAUCUUCGGACCUUGCGCGAUUGAAUGAGCCGAUGUCGGAUUAGCUAGUUGGCGGGGUAAAGGCCCACCAAGGCGACGAUCCGUAGCUGGUCUGAGAGGAUGAUCAGCCACCAUGGAACUGAGAAACGGUCCAGACCCCUACGGGAGGCAGCAGGGGGGAAUAUUGGAAAAGGGGCGCAAGCCUGAUCCAGCCAUACCGGGUGGGUGAAGAAGGCCUUCGGGUUGUAAAGCCCUUUUGUUGGGAAAAAAAAGCAGCAGGUUAAUACCCCGCUGUUCUGACGGUACCAAAAGAAUAAGCCCCGGCUAACUUCGG